rnacentral:tRNA from 1 species
GCGCGGGUGGUGAAAUGGUAUACACGCAGGCUUGAGGUGUCUGUGCCGAAAGGCGUGGAGGUUCGACUCCUCUCCCGCGCA